UACGUAGGGUGCAAGCGUUAAUCGGAAUUACUGGGCGUAAAGCGUGCGCAGGCGGUUUGGUAAGACAGAUGUGAAAUCCCCGGGCUUAACCUGGGAACUGCAUUUGUGACUGGCGGGCUAGAGUAUGGCAGAGGGGGGUAGAAUUCCACGUGUAGCAGUGAAAUGCGUAGAGAUGUGGAGGAAUACCGAUGGCGAAGGCAGCCCCCUGGGCCAAUACUGACGCUCAUGCACGAAAGCGUGGGGAGCAAACAGG
rnacentral:rRNA from 1 species